rnacentral:snoRNA from 16 species
UAGGCGGUUAGGAACCAGUUCAUGUCUGUACGUGAUUUGGGCCGACAUCCCCGCCAAAAUGGAACUCUUGAAGAUUUAAGGUCGCUUCUGAAUGGAUUUGCCAUCAGGUGCACACCAUCUUCACGUACACUU